rnacentral:rRNA from 1 species
GACGAACGCUGGCGGCGUGCUUAACACAUGCAAGUCGAACGGAAAGGCCUGCUUUCCCUUGUGGAUUGCGGGUACUCGAGUGGCGAACGGGUGAGUAACACGUGAGUGAUCUGCCCCCAACUUGGGUAUAAGCCUGGGAAACUGGGUCUAAUUCCCGAUAGGACUGCAGGGUGGUGCCUGUGGUGGAAAACGAGUUUCUAGUGGUUGGGGAUGAGCUCGCGGCCUAUCAGCUUGUUGGUGGGGUAAUGGCCUACCAAGGCGGCGACGGGUAGCCGGCCUGAGAGGGUGGACGGCCACAUUGGGACUGAGAUACGGCCCAGACUCCUACGGGAGGCAGCAGUGGGGAAUAUUGCACAAUGGGCGGAAGCCUGAUGCAGCGACGCCGCGUGGGGGAUGACGGCCUUCGGGUUGUAAACUCCUUUCGACCGCGAGGAAGCCACCUGGUUGGAAGGGUGGUGACGGUAGUGGUAGAAGAAGCACCGGCUAACUACGUG